rnacentral:rRNA from 1 species
AUUGAACGCUGGCGGCAGGCUUAACACAUGCAAGUCGAGCGAGCGGCGGACGGGUGAGUAGUGUCUGGGAAACUGUCUGAUGGAGGGGGAUAACUACUGGAAACGGUAGCUAAUACCGCAUACCAUCAGAUGUGCCCAGAUGGGAGUAGCUAGUCGGUGGGGUAAUGGCUCACCUAGGCGACGAUCCCUAGCUGGUCGGCGAGGAUGACCGUCAACACUGGAACUGAGACACGGUCCAGACUCCUACGGGAGGUAGCAGUGGGGAAUAUUGGACAAUGGGCGCAAGCCUGAUGCAGCAAGGCCGCGUGUGUGAAGAAGGCCUUCGGGUUGUAAAGCACUUUCAGCGAGGAGGCGUUACUCGCAGAAGAAGCACCGGCUAACUCCGUGCCAGCAGCCGCGGUAAUAC